AACGAACGCUGGCGGCAGGCCUAACACAUGCAAGUCGAGCGAGGUAGCAAUACCUAGCGGCGGACGGGUGAGUAACGCGUGGGAACGUACCCUUUGCUACGGAAUAGCCCCGGGAAACUGGGAGUAAUACCGUAUGUGCCCUUCGGGGGAAAGAUUUAUCGGCAAAGGAUCGGCCCGCGUUGGAUUAGGUAGUUGGUGGGGUAAUGGCCUACCAAGCCGACGAUCCAUAGCUGGUUUGAGAGGAUGAUCAGCCACACUGGGACUGAGACACGGCCCAGACUCCUACGGGAGGCAGCAGUGGGGAAUCUUAGACAAUGGGCGCAAGCCUGAUCUAGCCAUGCCGCGUGAGUGAUGAAGGCCUUAGGGUUGUAAAGCUCUUUCAGAUGGGAAGAUAAUGACGGUACCAUCAGAAGAAGCCCCGGCUAACUCCGUGCCAGCAGCCGCGGUAAUGUACAGUGU
rnacentral:rRNA from 1 species